rnacentral:sRNA from 1 species
GAAAAGGGCAACCUGAGUAGAGCGGCGCACGGGUGCGUAACACGUGGGUAAUCUGCCCUUGAGUCUGGGAUAACCUUCCGAAAGGUUGGCUAAUACCGGAUAAGCUCACGGGGACUUCGGUCUCUGUGGGAAAAGUAGGCCACUGUUUACAAGCUUACACUCGAGGAUGAGCCCGCGGCCCAUCAGCUAGUUGGCGGGGUACCGGCCCACCAAGGCUAAGACGGGUAGCUGGUCUGAGAGGACGAUCAGCCACACUGGAUCCCUGACACGNUGAAGNCUCNUNCNUGAAGUCGGAGUGGGUUGAUC